ensembl:lncRNA
AUGGAACCUACAAAUGUGACUUUAUUUGGAAAUAGGGUCUUUGCAGAUGUAAUUAAGAUGUACUCCACAGGUCUGGGGAGAUCAAGGCCAACAGCAUGCUGUAUUAGGAUGGUCCCAGUCCAACAACUGAUGCCCUUAUACGAGGGAAGUCUGGGCACAGACACACAGAGGAGGCCACGCGGUGGUGGAGCCAGAGAUGUGUCUACAAACCAAGGAGCGAGCAGGUCCGCCGGCCACCACCAGAAGCUGGCAGGGGUGAGGAAGUCAUUCUUCCGUGGGGGCUUCAGAGGGAGCAUGGUCCCAGUACACCUUGAGUGUUGGCCUCCUGGCCUCCAGAGCUGUGAGAAAAUCCAUGUCUGUUGUUUGAAGCUGCUGAGUUUGUGGCAUUUUGUUAUGGCUGUCCCAGGAAAGAAAUACAAUCACCAAAUGUCAAACACAGGGCAGCUGGGAAAAACAAGAAGGAAAUGCAUGAGGCACAUAAAGAAAAGACUUGGAAGAGACCAAGGAGGGACAGGAAGGAACGCUUCCUCAACUUCCUCCUCGCACCCUGACAGGAAGCCAGAGAUCUACUGGCUGAGCCUUGGAAGAAGUGGCUACUUUCCCCCACGCAAGAGCGGAACCCUCAAGACCAGCAAGGGGGGCACCUGAGAACAGAAAGCAGAGUCGCACCCACAUCCUGGGCAGGCUGACUCAGUUGCUUGAAUCCUGCCUCUAGGGCCAAGGUCACCAUUUGAUCCUGGUCUGAGCCAGCUUUGUCCUACUGGAGGAAAGCUUGGAACCAUGAAUCCUGGUUGGUCAUCUCCUGCUUGGCUGUUUUGCUCACAAUGGGAACCUGGUCUGGAAUGAUGCACUAUCACUCAUCGCUCCACCGAAAGAUGCGCCCGGUGCACAUCCCCAGGACCGUGUUACCCAUCAUCUUUACGCAUGGGGCUCAGAAUGCACAGAGCGGUGUGUGCAUGCGGCAACGUGUAUACACCGUGUGUGUCUGGGAGGUGCUCUCAUCAUCUCUGGCCGCAUCCUGCAGAGGGUCCUGCAGCCUCUACCUGGCUUCUGGCUCUUUAUUUAUUUAUUUAUUUAUCUAUUUUAGACGGAGUCUGGCUCUGUCUCCAGGCUGGAGUGCAGUGGAAUGAUCUCCGCUCAUUGCAACUUCCGCGACCCAGAUUCAAGUGAUUCUCCCGCUUCAGUCUCCCAAGUAGCUGGGACUAUAGGCAUGCAGCACUGUCAGCAGUUAAUUCGUUUGUAUUUUUAGUAGAGACGGGGUUUCUCCAUGCUGGCCAAGCUGGUCUUGAACUCCUGACCUCAGGUGAUCCCCCGACCUUGGCCUCCCAAAGGGCUGGGAUUACAGAGGUGCCUCUUUUAAUUGACUCCUCUCUAGGCAUCUCUCCUUCCAGCCACAGAGACUGGCCUGGUGGUCCCAGGGCCCCAGGUGAAGGCCUCUCUCCUCCCCCACUCAGUUCUGACCAGCUCUGUUUCCAUCCUGGUAUAGGCACAAGGUCUCUUGCUGCAGCUGGGCUAGUUUGCUGACCACCUCAGCUCCUUCUCUUAGACUGGAGAGGCCUGGAAGGGUGCCCGAGGGAGGGUCUGGGCUGCUCUCCUGGGCUCCUCCCCUUCCACUCCAGGGCUCUGGCUGGAGCCUGGUCAGGGUCCUUACUGAGUUCUCAGCUAAGCCCCAGCCCUGUGACGGCCUGAGGGGUCUGGUGGAGAAGCCCCAAAGUGAGGGCUCCAUAGCCUUCCACUGUCCCUCCCCGAGCUUGGGCAGUGCAAGCAGUCUCUGAAGGUCUUCUGGGUAGCCUUCCUUCCGUAUGCCCUCUUUUUUUUUUUUUUUUUUGAGACGGAGUCUCGCUCUGUCGCCCGGGCUGGAGUGCAGUGGCCGAAUCUCAGCUCACUGCAAGCUCCGCCUCCCGGGUUCCCGCUAUUCUCCUGCCUCAGCCUCCCGAGUAGCUGGGACUACAGGCGCCCGCCACCUCGCCCGGCUAGUUUUUUGUAUUUUUUAGUAGAGACGGGGUUUCACCGUGUUAGCCAGGAUGGUCUCGAUCUCCUGACCUCGUGAUCCGCCCGUCUCGGCCUCCCAAAGUGCUGGGAUUACAGGCUUGAGCCACCGUGCCCGGCCCCAUGCCCUCUUGCCUACUUUCCCCAGGUGGCCAAGGGACACUAAAAAAGGCAGUGAAUGGCUAGAGGACCACUCUUGAAAGUCAACCUGCCUCCCUCCUGGUGCCAGCUCCUUUCCCUCCAGCCUCCUUUUCAUAGAAUUCUACAAGAGGAAACAGGUCAUCUCCCCACCUUCUCCAAGUUUCCAGAAAGGAUGGGUUAGAGGGAUUUGGCGUUCUCUGAGGCUUCAGUCCAAACCUUGGACAUUGGGCUGGCCAGAGAUCUUGCUGGGGUUUCCUUGGGAAUCGUAUAUCCAUUGGGAGCACUAGCCCUGAACACCUGGGGCUCCCCACCUGCUAGGAGCUGGGAGGACUCUGGUGUUCCCUGUCAUCCCCCAGGGUCUAGGUGGAUGGAAUGGCAGCCCAGGACUGUUCCCCAGGCUGACCCGGACUCUAAUGAGAGCCAAGAGUGGACCUAGCUGUCAUUUAGAUCCCUGAGGGAGCCUUCACAGUAGCUGCUAAGCGGAGGCCCUGGCAGUGGAGAGGGUUCUCACACGUAGGAGAGGCAGUACUUAAGCAAGUAGCAGUGGAAAGGGCACUGGAUCUGACGCCAGCAGAGAGGUGGUCUAUUUCUGCUUCGCUCACUACUUAUCUGUGAUCUGAGGCAAGCCUAACCCUCUACAGCUUAGUUUACUCAUCUGGAAAGUGUGGUAUAUUUUAUUUUACCUGCCUUACAUCUGAGGCAUGGAGGGAGGACGAAAUGAGAUCACCUAUUAAAAUGCAUUUUGAAAAAACAGAAGUGCUAUUUAUGCAAACACAUGGUACUAAAAAUAAAAGACGCCUGUUUGCUUCUGGAAGUAAAAGUUGUGAAUGAGGCCGGGCUCUGUGGCUCACACCUGUAAUCCCAGCACUUUGGGAGGCCAAGGUGGGUGGAUCACAAGGUCAAGAGAUUGAGACAACUGCAACAUGUGAACCCAUUUACUAAAAA